GCUAAACAUGACAAUAAGCUGAACCUCAUUCAUCCUUCCUAAACUACUCUGUGUAAAAUGGCACUGGACAGAAAUGUUGUGUUGCCCUGCAGCAGUGUUCAAGGACCCGCUUCAUUCUCCUACGUCCACAGCUUCGCAUCCAAUGCUGCGCACAGUUCAGUAGAGCCUACCUACUGUUGACGUUUGGCGAGUGAUCAGGUGAACUGAUGCGGGGAACCAAACUUACGCUGAUCAUUCACUGUCAGUCAUCACUGUCACAGAGACAGCUCCUCCUCAGUGCAGCAUUAUAUUUCACCCUAACCAAGUUGUAAAGGCCUCUGCUCCUGCCAUCUGCGGCCAGAUACCUGGAAGCAGCAGUUCUACAGUCCCUGGAUCAUCAAAGGUCACAAUGUUACAGCCCUUUACAUCUUCACAAUUACACUGUGCUCUGUUAAGAGUUUUGGUUUGUGCCAACAAUGGACAGAUUCAACAAUUAGCAACUUACGCUACUGACCCAUGGACACUGACUCUAAGACACCAAUUUAUUUUGGUACAUUGAUAAUUUAUAUAUAUUGUAUAAUUAGAACAGUGUAUGCUUAUUUUGUA